rnacentral:rRNA from 1 species
UACGUAGGGUGCGAGCGUUAAUCGGAAUUACUGGGCGUAAAGCGUGCGCAGGCGGCUUUGCAAGGCAGAUGUGAAAUCCCCGGGCUCAACCUGGGAAUGGCAUUUGGGACUGCAAGGCUGGAGUACGGCAGAGGAGACUGGAAUUCCUGGUGUAGCAGUGAAAUGCGUAGAGAUCAGGAGGAAUACCGAUGGCGAAGGCAGGUCUCUGGGCUGAUACUGACGCUCAUGCACGAAAGCGUGGGGAGCAAACAGG